UUUGCAUCUAAGCAAGUUGCGUCAUCAAACUGUACCAAAACAAAUAUGAAUAUUGUCAAAGUAAUUUACCUAAUCACUUUCAUUUAUGGAUUGUUUGCACAAAAAAUACCAGCUGGAUCCUGCGUUUCCAAGAUUAGAAAUGGGAAACUUGUCCAAGUUGGAGAUUGCCAGCAAAACGAUGAAUCUGAUAUCGCCAGACUGAUCAAAAAGAGUCUCGAUGACAAGAAACAAAGUAAUUUGUCCUAUGUUUUUAUGAUUUAAUAUAAUAUCUGUCACACUCUUCAAAACAUAACGAAUGAAUUUUCAUUGCACGAUUUGAAUAUAGAUUUGACUUUGAAUAUAUAUAUUUGAAGAAUCGGAUCCUCAGUCGUCGCUGGGUCAUUAAGAAUCCACAAGAUGUCUGAAAUUGUUUGCUAUACUCGCCUCCGGAAAUAAGUUGUUUUGUUUCUGUCGUAUGAUC